rnacentral:rRNA from 1 species
AGAUAAUAGAUACCCUGGUAGUCCACGCCGUAAACGAUGCAUACUAGUCGUGUGGGGUAUCGACCCCCUGCGUGACGAAAGCUAACGCGUUAAGUAUGCCGCCUGGGAAGUACGGCCGCAAGGCUAAAACUCAAAGGAAUUGACGGGGACCCGCACAAGCGGAGGAUGAUGUGGUUUAAUAUGACGCUACGCGUAGAACCUUACCCAGGCUUGACAUCCUUGGAAUCUCUCGGAAACGAGAGAGUGCCCUCGGGAGCCAAGUGACAGGUGCUGCAUGGCCGUCGUCAGCUCGUGUCGUGAGAUGUUGGGUUAAGUCCCGCAACGAGCGCAACCCCUGUCGUAUGUUGAAUUUUUCAUACGAGACUGCCCGGGCCAACCGGGAGGAAGGUGGGGUCGAAGUCAGGUCAGCAUGGCCCUUACGCCUGGGGCUACACACGUCAUACAAUGGCCGGUACAACGCGUUGCCAAGCCGCGAGGCGGAGCUAAUCGCACCAAAACCGGUCCCAGUUCGGAUUGUAGGCUGCAACUCGCCUGCAUGAA